rnacentral:rRNA from 1 species
UACGGAGGGUGCGAGCGUUGUCCGGAAUCAUUGGGCGUAAAGGGCGCGUAGGUGGCCCGGUCAGCGUGCGGUGAAAGCUCGGGGCUCAACCCCCGAGUCGGCCGUGCGAACUGCUGGGCUGGAGCACUGUAGAGGCAGGCGGAAUUCCGGGUGUAGCGGUGGAAUGCGUAGAGAUCCGGAAGAACACCGGUGGCGAAGGCGGCCUGCUGGGCAGUGGCUGACACUGAGGCGCGACAGCGUGGGGAGCAAACAGG